UAGCAAGAAGUCAAACAAGUG
rnacentral:rRNA from 1 species